AAAAAGGCAAACCCUGGGUUUCCGUGCCAACGUUUGACUGUCCGUCUUAUAUGAAAUUUUUUAUAAUUAAUAUUUUUAUUGUUGUUAGAUGAUAAAACAUGAUUAAUACUUUAUGCGUGACUUAUCUUUUUAAUAUUUUUUCAUAAUUUUUUUAAAUAAGACAGACGGUCAAACGUUAGACACGGAAACCAGGGUU
rnacentral:pre_miRNA from 1 species